rnacentral:rRNA from 1 species
UUGAACGCUGGCGGCAGGCCUAACACAUGCAAGUCGAACGGUAACAGGAAGAAGCUUGCUUCUUUGCUGACGAGUGGCGGACGGGUGAGUAAUGUCUGGGAAACUGCCUGAUGGAGGGGGAUAACUACUGGAAACGGUAGCUAAUACCGCAUAACGUCGCAAGACCAAAGAGGGGGACCUUCGGGCCUCUUGCCAUCGGAUGUGCCCAGAUGGGAUUAGCCAGUAGGUGGGGUAACGGCUCACCUAGGCGACGAUCCCUAGCUGGUCUGAGAGGAUGACCAGCCACACUGGAACUGAGACACGGUCCAGACUCCUACGGGAGGCAGCAGUGGGGAAUAUUGCACAAUGGGCGCAAGCCUGAUGCAGCCAUGCCGCGUGUAUGAAGAAGGCCUUCGGGUUGUAAAGUACUUUCAGCGGGGAGGAAGGGAGUAAAGUUAAUACCUUUGCUCGUUGACGUUACCCGCAGAAGAAGCACCGGCUAACUCCGUG